UCCGGUGUCGAUGCGCUUAGGGGAAACACCCGUUCCCAUCCCGAACACGACGGUUAAGACCUAAGCGGCCGAUGGUACUGCAUUGGAGACGAUGUGGGAGAGCAGGCGGGCGCCGGAU
rnacentral:rRNA from 1 species